rnacentral:rRNA from 1 species
AUUGAACGCUGGCGGCAGGCCUAACACAUGCAAGUCGUGCGAGCGGCGGACGGGUGAGUAAUAUAUCGGUAUCUGCCUGAUGGAGGGGGAUACCUACUGGACACGGUAGCUAAUACCGCAUCACAUCAGCUGAACCCAUAUGGGAUUAGCUAGUAGGUGCGGUAACGGCUCACCUAGGCGACGAUCCCUAGCUGGUCUGAGAGGAAGAUCAGCCACACUGGGACUGAGACACGGCCCAGAAUCCGACGGGAGGCAGGAGUGGGGAAUAGUGGACAAUGGGAGCAACCCUGAUGCAGCCAUGCCGCGUGUAUGAAGAAGGCCAUCGGUUUGUAAAGUACUUUCAGCAGGGAGGCGUUACCGACAGAAGAAGCACCGGCUAACGACGUGCCAGAAGCCGCGGUAAUAC